rnacentral:tRNA from 1 species
GGCCCCGUAGUUCAAUGGUACGACGCACCACUAGCAGCGGUGAAGAGCCGGUUCGAUUCCGGCCGGGGCCUCCA